GCAGUCGAGCGGACUUUAAAGCUUGCUUUUAAGUUAGCGGCGGACGGGUGAGUAACACGUGGGCAACCUGCCUGUAAGACUGGGAUAACUUCGGGAAACCGGAGCUAAUACCGGAUAAUCCUUUUCCUCUCAUGAGGAAAAGCUGAAAGACGGCUUCUCGCUGUCACUUACAAAUGGGCCCGCGGCGCAUUACCUAGUUGGUGAGGUAACGGCUCACCAAGGCAACAAUGCGUACCCAACCUGAAAGGGUGAUCGGCCACACUGGGACUGAAACACGGCCCAAACUCCUACGGGAGGCAGCAGUAGGGAAUCUUCC
rnacentral:rRNA from 2 species